AGGUUCAUAGUACGUGAAACCGUUUAGGGGUAAACGGGAGGGAUCCGGAAGGUCGAACGGGGAGAUUCAAUCCUGUCCGCUCGUCGGCACCCGAUCCGCGAUUCCGGAUGUCGUCGGCCGCCGGCCACACCGCAAGGUGCGCGCCGUGUUAGGUCGUCGGCACCGGCCGGUCGGGGUCGUUUCGGCGGCGGCGGGCUGCACUUCUCUCCCGGUAGGUCGUCGCGACCCGUUGGACUUUGCGGGGGUCUCAGGCCCGGGAUGGAGCCCGAGGGGAUCGCCGAGGAAUCUCGGAUUCACGUUCCCCCGGACCCCGGUCGCCCGGCCCCGGUUCGACGGUAUGAGGCGUGGAGAUGGCCCGCUCUCUUGCGAGCGUCCGGCCCGGUGGGCAAGCUCCGCGGGUCUUUCCGUGCGUGGUGCCGCGGCUAACGCCGCGUCCCCGCCGCCCGCGGGCUGCUGGUCUCCGGAGUCCUCGGACAGCUUUGGCCCUUUCUCCCGUCAGCGGCGCUAUUGCUUCGGAUGCCUUCCCGACCCGUCUUGAAACACGGACAA
rnacentral:rRNA from 1 species